rnacentral:rRNA from 1 species
AUGACAUCGUCUAGAAGCAACUACCGCGUGAUGACGGCGGAGGAAGAGGAGGCGGCCGACCGGUGCGUGGGCUGGAUCUUGGUCUAUAUCGCGGUACUCUACCUCGGCUUCUUCGCCGUCUCCGCCGUGAUCUCCUACACGCACGUGUUUACCCGCGCCGCCAGGUCCGACAAGAUCUUCUUUGGGAUCCUGGGAGCGCCUUUUCUGCCCAUCGGCCUUGGCUUCAUCUGCCUGCUUCUACGGGAGGACGGGCCCUUCCGCAACAAGCAUGCCUCCGCUCGAGUCGCCGACCUGCCGCCUGCCGAUGUGUGCUAG